rnacentral:rRNA from 1 species
GAGUUUGAUCGUGGCUCAGAUUGAACGCUGGCGGCAUGCCUUACACAUGCAAGUCGAACGGUAACAGGUCUUCGGAUGCUGACGAGUGGCGAACGGGUGAGUAAUACAUCGGAACGUGCCCGAUCGUGGGGGGAUAACGAGGCGAAAGCUUUGCUAAUACCGCAUACGAUCUACGGAUGAAAGCGGGGGAUCUUCGGACCUCGCGCGGACGGAGCGGCCGAUGGCAGAUUAGGUAGUUGGUGGGAUAAAAGCUUACCAAGCCGACGAUCUGUAGCUGGUCUGAGAGGAUGAUCAGCCACACUGGGACUGAGACACGGCCCAGACUCCUACGGGAGGCAGCAGUGGGGAAUUUUGGACAAUGGGCGAAAGCCUGAUCCAGCCAUGCCGCGUGCAGGAUGAAGGCCUCGGUUGUAAC